rnacentral:rRNA from 1 species
ACACGUAGGGGGCGAGCGUUGUUCGGAAUCAUUGGGCGUAAAGGGCGUGCAGGCGGUCCUGCAAGUCCGGCGUGAAAGACCCCGGCCCAACCGGGGGGACGCGCUGGAAACUGCGGGGCUUGAGUACAGGAGGGGAUGCCGGAAUUCCAGGUGUAGGGGGGAAAUCUGUAGAUAUCUGGAAGAACACCAAUGGCGAAGGCAGGCAUCUGGCCAUGGACUGACGCUGAGACGCGAAGGUGCGGGGAGCAAACAGGUUUAGAUACCCUGGUAGUCCGCACAGUAAACGAUGUGCACCAGGUGGCGGGGGGUCGACCCUCGGUACCGUAGCUAACGCAUUAAGUGCACCGCCUGGGGAGUAUGCUCGCAAGGGUGAAACUCAAAUGAAUUGACGGGG